UACGUAGGGGGCAAGCGUUGUCCGGAAUCAUUGGGCGUAAAGAGCGUGUAGGCGGUUCGGUAAGUCCGCUGUGAAAGUCCAGGGCUCAACCCUGGAAAGCCGGUGGAAACUGUCGAGCUAGAGUCCGGAAGAGGCGAGUGGAAUUCCUGGUGUAGCGGUGAAAUGCGUAGAUAUCAAGUGGAACACCAGUGGCGAAGGCGAGUCUCUGGACAUUUCCUGACGCUGAGGCACGAAAGCCAGGGGAGCAAACGGG
rnacentral:rRNA from 1 species